GUCCUAGUUACCAGCACGUUAUGUGGGCACUCUAAGGAGACUGCCGGUGGACAAACCGGAGGAAGGUGGGGAUGACGUCAAGUCAUCAUGGCCCUUACGGCCUGGGCUACACACGUGCUACAAUGGUCGGUACAAAGGGUUGCCAAGCCGCGAGGUGGAGCUAAUCCCAUAAAACCGAUCGUAGUCCGGAUCGCAGUCUGCAACUCGACUGCGUGAAGUCGGAAUCGCUAGUAAUCGUGAAUCAGAAUGUCACGGUGAAUACGUUCCCGGGCCUU
rnacentral:rRNA from 1 species